AACGCACCUUGCACUCCUUGGUAUUCCGAGGAGUAUGCCUGUUCGAGUGUCAUGAAACUCUCAAACCUCCAUCUUUAUUGAUGUCUGGUUUGGAUUUGGAUGUUGCUGGACGUAAGUUUGGCUCAUCUUGAAAGUAUUAGCUGGCGAUGUUGACUUCAGUUAAUCCGUGUGAUAAUAUAUCAACGCGGGCAGCUGUCAAGGCGCUGAGUCUUCAUUCAAAGGCUUCUAAUUGUCCUAUUUGGGGACCACCUUUUUAAGGUGUAUUCAUUUCACAUCUGGCCUCGAAUCAGGUAGGACUACCCGCUGAACUUAA
rnacentral:misc_RNA from 1 species